GCAUAUCAAUAAGCGGAGGAAAAGAAACCAACAGGGAUUGCCCCAGUAACGGCGAGUGAAGCGGCAACAGCUCAAAUUUGAAAUCUGGCCCCCCGGCCCGAGUUGUAAUUUGGAGAGGAUGCUUCUGGCGCGGCGCCGUCCGAGUUCCUUGGAACAGGACGCCACAGAGGGUGAGAGCCCCGUACGGACGGACGCCUAGCCUCUACGAAGCUCCUUCGACGAGUCGAGUAGUUUGGGAAUGCUGCUCAAAAUGGGAGGUAAAUUUCUUCUAAAGCUAAAUACCGGCCAGAGACCGAUAGCGCACAAGUAGAGUGAUCGAAAGAUGAAAAGCACUUUGAAAAGAGGGUUAAAAAGUACGUGAAAUUGUUGAAAGGGAAGCGCCUGUGACCAGACUUGCGCCUCGCGGACCACCCGGCGUUCUCGCCGGUGCACUCUGCGUGGCGCAGGCCAGCAUCGGUUCUCCCAGGGGGACAAAGGCCGCGGGAACGUAGCUCCUUCGGGAGUGUUAUAGCCCGCGGCGGCAUGCCCCUGGGGGGACCGAGGACCGCGCUUCGGCAAGGAUGCUGGCGUAAUGGUCACCAGCGACCCGUCUUGAAACACGGACCAAGGAGUCAAGCAUUGGGGCGAGUGUAUGGGUGCCAAACCCGCACGCGAAAUGAAAGUAAACGCAGGUGAGAGCUUCGGCGCAUCAUCGACCGAUCCUGAUGUCUUCGGAUGGAUUUGAGUAAGAGCCUUACCGCUUGGACCCGAAAGAUGGUGAACUAUGCCUGAAUAGGGUGAAGCCAGAGGAAACUCUGGUGGAGGCUCGCAGCGGUUCUGACGUGCAAAUCGAUCGUCAAAUUUGGGCAUGGGGGCGAAAGACUAAUCGAACCAUCUAGUAGCUGGUUACCGCCGAAGUU
rnacentral:rRNA from 1 species